CAACUUUGUAUAUUAAUAAUCUCUUGGUAGCUGCCAUGGGAGAUCAUAAUCACAUUAUGAAGUAAUCUCUCAGGUAACUUGGACCAGUCUCAGGGAUGGUUUGAAGGGGAAGACCAAACCUUUGCAUCUGUCCCAGCACAAUAUAGGAAGCAGCAAGGAGCUAAUGGACUUUUGGAUGUGUGUGUUGCUGAACUAACUUGGCUACUCCCUGAAGCUCUGGAAGAGAGAGAAUUAUUCUACCUAAGAGAUGGCUACAUGGACAAGCUAUCAUCCUAAAAGCAAGAUAUUCUUCUCAGGUCCUGAUAGUAUGAGUGAUGGAGCCAGAAUUUGCAACUGAGAUGGGCAGUGGAUGGGAUUCAGGCUAACGAACAAGCCCAUACUGCACUUACCUGGGCAUGCCAGAGCAUCCAGCACUGGAUACAUGAGAAACCCUUCCCUCAGCGCAGAGCAUGUGUGUUGCCUCCACAGCCAUCAUAGCCUCUGCUAUGUUCAGGGAUUGACAGACUGGGUUCACAGAUUAAAUUCCAAG